UUGAAAGCUGGCGUCUUCGGCGUCCGCAUUGUAAUCUCAAGAAGUGUUUUCCGCUUCGGACCAUGCCUAAGUCCCUUGGAAAAGGGCAUCAUAGAGGGUGAUAAUCCCGUACAUGGCAUGGAGCGCCCGAAGCUUUGUGAUACGCUUUCUAAGAGUCGAGUUGUUUGGGAAUGCAGCUCAAAAUGGGUGGUAAAUGCCAUCUAAGGCUAAAUAUUGGGGAGAGACCGAUAGCGAACAAGUACAGUGAUGGAAAGAUGAAAAGAACUUUGAAAAGAGAGUUAAACAGUACGUGAAAUUGCCAAAAGGGAAGGGUAGGAGGUCAGAGAUGCGGCCUAGGAUUCAGCCUUGCUUUUGCUUGGUGUUUUUCCUGCGUUGCAGGCCAACGUCGGUUUUGGGCACUGGAGAAGGGUAGGAGGAACGUGGCACCUCUCGGGGUGUGUUAUAGCCUCCUACUGGAUACAGCGACCGAGACCGAGGAACGCAGCGUACUCGCAAGAGCGGGCCUUCGGGCACCUUUACGCUUAGGGCGUUGGCAUAAUGGCCCUCUACCACCCGUCUUGAA
rnacentral:rRNA from 1 species